AUCGGAUCUCGCGCGGCGUGCAUCCCGUGAACUCCCCCAGGGCAGGAAUGCAGCAAGGGUCAACGGGCUCUCUCGGGUGCGCGGGGUCCUUCUUU
rnacentral:SRP_RNA from 1 species